GCUCUCGGGUGACGAGCGGCGGACGGGUGAGUAAUGUCUGGGAAACUGCCUGAUGGAGGGGGAUAACUACUGGAAACGGUAGCUAAUACCGCAUAAUGUCGCAAGACCAAAGUGGGGGACCUUCGGGCCUCAUGCCAUCAGAUGUGCCCAGAUGGGAUUAGCUAGUAGGUGGGGUAACGGCUCACCUAGGCGACGAUCCCUAGCUGGUCUGAGAGGAUGACCAGCCACACUGGAACUGAGACACGGUCCAGACUCCUACGGGAGGCAGCAGUGGGGAAUAUUGCACAAUGGGCGCAAGCCUGAUGCAGCCAUGCCGCGGUGUGUGAAGAAGGCCUUCGGGUUGUAAAGCACUUUCAGCGGGGAGGAAGGCGUUAAGGUUAAUAACCUUGGCGAUUGACGUUACCCGCAGAAGAAGCACCGGCUAACUCCGUGCCAGCAGCCGCGGUAAUACGGAGGGUGCAAGCGUUAAUCGGAAUUACUGGGCGUAAAGCGCACGCAGGCGGUCUGUCAAGUCGGAUGUGAAAUCCCCGGGCUCAACCUGGGAACUGCAUUCGAAACUGGCAGGCUAGAGUCUUGUAGAGGGGGGUAGAAUUCCAGGUGUAGCGGUGAAAUGCGUAGAGAUCUGGAGGAAUACCGGUGGCGAAGGCGGCCCCCUGGACAAAGACUGACGCUCAGGUGCGAAAGCGUGGGGAGCAAA
rnacentral:rRNA from 1 species